CAGCAGCCGCGGGAAAACAGAGGGUGCGAGCGUUAAUCGGAUUUACUGGGCGUAAAGCGUGCGUAGGCGGCUUCUUAAGUCGGAUGUGAAAUCCCUGAGCUUAACUUAGGAAUUGCAUUCGAUACUGGGAAGCUAGAGUAUGGGAGAGGAUGGUAGAAUUCCAGGUGUAGCGGUGAAAUGCGUAGAGAUCUGGAGGAAUACCGAUGGCGAAGGCAGCCAUCUGGCCUAAUACUGACGCUGAGGUACGAAAGCAUGGGGAGCAAACAGGAUUAGAUACCCGAGUAGUCCCUGUCUCUUAUAC
rnacentral:rRNA from 1 species